UUGUCAAUAAAUAACUUCACCCGUGAUUCCGCCAUAACAGUUUAUUUCGCGCUGUCGGUUUUGUCGCGAUGAAAUUAUAUUUUAUUUGUGACCGGAAAUCUUUGUGAUUUCUGCUGAAAAUCCGAUAAAACCAUAUCCUUGGAUCCUGAGUGAUUUGCGUAACGGAAAGGCGCUACCGGAACUAUUUCAAGCACCAAGAUGCCAGGUUGGAAAUACAAUCUUCAGCGAGAUUGUAGGCAAGAAUCCGGGUGCAAGAACCUGAUGGCGGUGGAAGUCGAGGUGAAUAUGAUGGGAAAGGCGAGGAUUGGACCCAUGGCAACUUUGACGAGAUCUGGCGAUAGUAAGGCCAUCGAAAUAGAUACGCAAAGACAGUAACGGUAGCAACGGGAAUAAUUUCGGUGAGGAUGCUUCAAUCGACAAGAUUCCCAGUUCUCGUGAGGUGGAAAUACGGCUUGGAUUUGAAGCGGUCAUUUUGAUGGGGACAGACAGCUGGAUCCGUGGACAAUCUUUGGGACUUCUCCGGAAAGCAGGGCUGGUAGCAGAUCUCGUUUUAAAGACUUGGUCUCUUUUUUAAUGCAAAUCGCUAAAAUCUCCCCAUUUUGAAUAGACGGUUUCUAAAAUCUCUUUUUUAGCCAAAAUGAUCUCUAAAGUCACUAUUUACCUUCACCUUGCAGUAAGUUCUGAUUCGAAAUACCGAACUAAGAAUUUUCACAGAGAUCACUCGAAAAAAAUCUCUCCUAUCAAUGGAAAAAAAUCCUAUUCCUGGAUUGCCUUUAGAAAUUUUCCGUCGAUUUUUCCACAAAUUAGAUUUUUUAACUCAUUUUUAUGUUCCCCAA